CUCAUGGGGGGUUCCUCCACGGUUUGCAUUUCUUCUACUAGCCUCUCAUGGGGAAUUCCCUCCAUGGUUUUACAUUUGGGGUAGAAACCGUUUUUUAUUUAGGGCAAGGAGGAAUAAUAGUGACUUUUAUUCCGCGGGUAUCUCUUUUGUUCUGGCCUGCCUCACCUUUUAUGGCGGUUCCUGGUUGGGCUCAUAUCCACCCCUUCUUUCUCUUCACGGCAGAAUGCAGACGGAGGAAAGGGGUCUCAAUUUUUCUACUUGUUACAAAGCAAGUCCCCCCGGUAGUAGUGUGUCACCGCCGGCCCCUUUUUCGGGCCCCUCUUUGGGAGGGUCCCCUGUCAAGCAUCGUCCAUGGAGCAACACUAUAAACAUCGGCAAGCUCGCUUACCACCACCAGAAUUACUACAUUUUGAGACUUAGAAAUCGGGGAAUCAGUCCAAGAUCACAGCAAUGUCGCACAGAAGUACCUUUAAAAUUGAAAACAUAUACAACGAGGACAAACAGAAACCAAAGAUCAAGAAUCUGAAGAAUAUUCCCGGAGUUGCAGAGGUUGAUGUUGAGUUUGGAUCGAGGACUGUAACCUUUACGCAUGAUCAAAGAAUUACAGUCGACAGGCUAGAAAGAGAGCUGAGAGAUCAAAACCUAAAUCCCUCUCUCAUCAGGCCAGCUCAAUAUUAACUGAUGUAACAGAUAGCACUCGAAGAUAUGGGAGAUUCUCUGAUGAUUGUGGCACCGGACUUGAAGCGUUUUUGUUAGGUAGUUUAUAUCACAGUAAUAAAAUAGAGCAGCUUCCUCUGCUGCUUCUUACCAAUCAGACUCUUUCCUUUUCUUAUUGUAAUGUUACAGAUCAGAUUUUCUGAAACGAUGGUUUCCAUUGCAUGGAUAACUAUUUGAAGCAGCACCAAAAGUUACUUUUUUGAGAAAAAAAAUACACUCCUUUUGUUCAGGUU